UGACAUAGCUCAGUCGGUAGAACAUCAGACUCUUAAUCUCAGGGUCCUGGGUUCCAAUCUCACACUGGACAA